UUUUGGGGUUCCUGGGAGUCACGCAGAUCUUGCUGGGGCCUCCAAAUGAAAGAACCUAGUGGGGAAACCCCCACUCAAUUCCUGAUUCAGCGUGCACCCAAGAAUCACGAACAGACGA
rnacentral:pre_miRNA from 7 species